AGGUGCAUUUUGCUAAUUAAAAUGAAAUAUAUUUACCACCAAAGUUUAAUUGCAAAGCUAAUUAGUUUUUGUUUCCAUUAAAAAUUUGCAAUAUAAGGGGGAUGGCUGAAGAAGAUGAGAACGCUAAACAUGGACUACGCCUGACGAUACCAGACUACCCGUUUGCGAAUGACGGUCUAAUAUUAUGGGAUGCAAUUAAAGAAUGGGUGACAGAAUAUGUGAACCACUAUUAUCCAGAUGCAGAACUGAUCAAGUCGGACGAGGAACUUCAAGGAUGGUGGAGCGAAGUGCAAAACGUAGGACAUGGAGACAAGAAAGAUGAACCUUGGUGGCCUGUCCUCGAGACACAAGAUGACUUAAUUAAUAUCGUCACGACGAUUGCGUGGGUCGCUUCAGGUCACCAUGCAGCUGUAAACUUUGGACAGUAUGGAUAUGGAGGAUACUUCCCUAACAGACCAACCACAACAAGGAUAAAAAUGCCGACAGAAGAACCAACAGAUGAAGAGCUAGAGGAGUUCUACGAGUCACCAGAAAAAGUAAUGCUUAAAACAUACCCAUCACAGAAGCAGGCGACUCUAGUGAUGGUCACUUUGGAUCUUUUAUCAACUCAUUCAGUUGAUGAAGAGUACAUUGGAGAGUAUCCGGAAUCAUCUUGGGCUGAUGAACCUAUGAUAAAUGCUGCUUUUGAACGUUUUAAAGGUAGGCUUCAAUAUCUAGAAGGAGUGAUAGAUGAGAGAAACGUGACACUUUCUCUAAAGAAUAGAGCUGGAGCUGGUGUGGUUAAGUAUGAGCUUUUGAAGCCUACUUCUGAGCAUGGUGUUACUGGAAUGGGUGUUCCCUACAGUAUUUCUAUUUGAUCUAUUUUGUUUUCCUUUCCCAAGUGUCUUUAUUUUUCUGUAUGUCUUCAAGAAAUAAAACAACUGAUCCAUUGUCUUUUCUAUAUAAAUCU
rnacentral:lncRNA from 1 species